CACUUAUAGUCACCAAAUCCCACUUUGCGUCUGCCUUCUUGAGCUCUUUAUCCUAGGCGUGUGCCUCUGCAAACCUGUUUUGUUUGGCAACCGCAAAAAAUGUGGACUGAACGUCAUAUUUGAUUUACCCUGGCGUUAAUGUUUGACAGCUGGCCAUCCUCCUGUCUACGGUGUGCACAUAAACGGUACAACUCUCCCAAAAGCAGUAUGAAAUGAGAUACGUGCACGGGAAAACAAAUCUGAAUGGAACAAGACAAACCGCACAGCAUGCUCAACAUCAGCAGAUGGAGAUAGAUGGAAGAGCGAGGUGGGAGAAAAGGACAGGAAUAUGUCUAACGUCUCACCCUCCAUCGAGUGGAGCCCUCUGUGAAUGCAGCCUGCUGUAUCAUCCAUCUGUGUUGGGGACAUCUUUGGUCUGUCAAAGAAGAGGAUCUUUCAUUUACCAGAGUUAGGUAUCUUUGUGAUCUGUUGAGGAAAAAUCUCUUUGAUAUGUGCUAGAAAAGGAUGACUGUACAGUGGGGAUCUCUCCUCAUUGUGUGUUUCUGAGGAGGAUCGUUUGUGUCUUUUGUGUUGGCCAAGGCUCUCUGAAUAAUGGUUAAUAGGAUACUGUGGCUGCACAUGUUACAUUGCAUCAGCCCAUAGAAAAUACGUGAUUCAGGGAUGUCCCCCUCACUAUUUGAAUCGUCAACAGUACAUGUUGACUAUGCUGACCUUUGUUUUGGUGAAGACUAAAAAAUAAUUGCAUGACAAGGGUGAUGGGAUGAAUUUGAGCUAUAAAUGCAUUGAACUCAACAUCUGUCAAUAAUGCGAGAGACACCACCCUGUCUUGACGGAACACUACAAAAGAACGACAAGCGACAGGGUGAGUAGGAGGAACAGAAGGGAGAAUAAAAGGGUCAUCAUGAUUUUGACGUUGCCCUUCUCCUACCAUGCUCCCAUACCCUGUGUGGGCGCUGUGUCGGGGGUGGGGAGGGGGCAGGGCGAUGUGUACUAAGUGAGGAAGGGGUGUGCCAUGCUUCCCAAGGUGGUACCCGUUCUGCCCACCACCACUCUCAGUCCCCCUAUGUGUGCUGUUUUGUGCCCUUGCUGUUGCCACUCUGUGGAGCUGCCAUGCUGGAAGUGGGCUUCUGCCACCUGCUGCCUGCCUCCCGACCCCUGGGUGGACAGCCAGUAGAGCUGGGGAACAGGCAGAAGGAGGGACGAAGGCCUUCUCACAGGGGAAUCCAUUCGUCAGGGACACAGGGGAUGUCAAGGACCAGAGCACUGCUGCAUAUGGCUCACCACUGGAGGGUGCUAUAGACCUACAAGAGGAAGAGAUGGAACAGUCUGUCAGUCUGACGUUCACCCUGGAUCCCUCUGCUGCUGCUCUAUCCCUCCACCUCCUCCCUCACUGUGACCUUCCACGGACCAAGCCCUCCGUCACUACCCUCUCGUCACCAUAGCAACAGGGUCACUGGUUCAGUGUCCCAGGAGUCUGCCCCUCAGCUCCUCCCUCAGGUGUGUGGGGACGUGGUCAUCGUCAGGGAUCAGUUUUACUGGGAGGUGGAUGUCUGCAACAGCACUCUGUAUAGGAUAGGAGUGAGCUCAUUGGACGAUGCUUGCGGCUGGUGGCUUGAAAGGCGGGGCUUGUCCUUCUCCACUGUGUACGAUAGCCGUCGGGAGCCCUUACUGCCCACUCGCUUCAGCAACGCUGGGGUGCGUCCCGCUCUGGGGCUGGGCCAGGGCAGGCUGAGGCUCCGCUGUGGCCUACCCCCUCUACCCCACAUCUUCCUCAGCCGAGCGUCCGCCGCGUCCACUGGUGGGGGUCGCUGGCGCAGAGACGUGCCCUUCCAGUCUGUACGGGCGGUCAUCCAGAAGUUUGAGGAGCUGGCGGUGUCAGAUUCUCACUCUGGGCUGGUGUCCAGUUUUGGGUCGUCCUGCUCCACUCUGGCCUCCUUGGCCGAAGCAGGCCCAGGUCUAGGCUUCAGCCCAGGAGCAGCUUGCCAUCCUGGGCAAGAGGGAAGGGGGCUGGGGCAGAGUAACAUGUGGAGGACAGAUUAUAGUACCUUGUACAAUGAUGGGCCUCUCCCUGCUGGUGAUAGGAGCAAACUACUACCACGUCACAUUACAAAUAGGUUUUUAUAAGGUUGGUGAUGACACUGUGUGACAAAUUUGGGAUAAACUUGUGAGAUGGAAGGGCCAUUCUUCUGCUUUAUGAUAGGAGAAAACCAUUUGGGAUGAGUUUGAUCUUUGGAUGACUAUUUCCAUGACUAAUUUCUCAUCUCUGAGGAACUCUGUGACUUUCUCAUCAGUGUGAUUGUGACCCAGUAGUUGACUUUCUCCCCAGGACGCUGGGCUUCCUCUCAGCUACACAACCCCCACAGGUUUGGGGCUGGGCCCGGGCUGUCUGUAGGAGGAGGAGGAUUUCUCACUGGGGGUCCCACACUCUGGUGUGGGGGUUGAUGGUAGGACAGUAGGGUUGAUACGGAUGGUGGCGGUGUAUGUGAGGUGUGGGAGUCAGUGGCAGUGACACUACCAGUGUUGACACUGGGUCACAAAGACAAGUGGUAAAGUACAUUUAUCCAGUGGUGUGUGUGUGUGUUACUCCCUCUGCCCCAUCUUGUCUCUCCAUGAUCUGUCUGUUUUCUGCUUUUUGCAUGUUCUGGAAAGGACAAUCAUUUGGUCAGACCACCCAAGUUGUAAAUCACAUUGUAAAAAAAAAAAAAAAAAUCAACCAAAUUAAAACAACCAUCAAUCA